rnacentral:rRNA from 1 species
UACGGAGGGGGCUAGCGUUGUUCGGAAUUACUGGGCGUAAAGCGCACGUAGGCGGCGAUCUAAGUCAGAGGUGAAACGCCCGGGGCUCAACCCCGGAACUGCCUUUGAGACUGGAUUGCUAGAAUCACGGAGAGGUGGGGUGGAAUUCCGAGUGUAGAGGUGAAAUUCGAUAGAUAUUCGGAAGAACACCAGUGGCGAAGGCGGCCC